rnacentral:rRNA from 1 species
AUAUUUUUGGUUUAACCUGCCCAAUGUGAAAAUGAAUGGCCGCGGUACUCUGACCGUGCUAAGGUAGCGUAAUCAGUUGGCUUUUAAAUGGAGUCAGGUAUGAAUGGGAAAACCUGGUCCAGCUGUCUCGAAAUUAAUUACUUGAAUUUACUGUUUAAGUGAAAAAGCUUAAGCUUGAAAAAGGGACGAGAAGACCCUUAGAAUUUUAUUUAAAGAAGCUUUACUUCUACAAUUUUGUUGGGGCGACAGAGAAAUAAUAAAAACUUUCUUUUAUAGACAAGCCGAUUUUUUUAAGAGAGAAUAAAUUACCUGAGGGAUAACAGCAUAAUUCUAUAACUGAGUUUGUGACCUCGAUGUUGGACUAGGAAACUAGCAGGCUAGCCGUUUGCUGUGUGGGUUCUGUUCGAACUAUAAUUCCU